rnacentral:lncRNA from 1 species
UGCAGGUGCACGGGCUAGCACUUUAUAUGUUAGUUCCAACAAAGUUGUUAUCAAUUAGAAAUGUUGAAGAAUAAAAUGAAUAUGUUGAUAUUGGUUAUUACUCUUUCGCAUACAUGUUUGACUUUGUUGGACAUAGGGUUCAAUAAUGUUAAAUGGUUUGGCACUAUUUAUGGGUUAUAUAAGGGUAUAUGUGUUCUACAAAGGAAAAAUGUCAUUGUACGUAUCAUAUAAUCAUCUCCUAAAAUGUAUGAAUAUGAUUUUUGCUUGCAUAUGUCUUUCAUUCUUACCAUACGUUGAAAAGAUAUAUGUUCCUUUGUUGCCAAGGAAUCAUGAUAGAAUUGCGAAAAUUUUGUUUCUACAUAAUGAUGGAAACAUGCAUGCACGGUUUCUGUCAACGUACCCGAUAUCAUAGCAAAUAAUAUACAUAUAUAAAAAAAGUGUUGUAUAAUCUCAUUACUAUAAACACCCUAGAUUAUUCAGAUUUUAAGUUUUUGUCUCAACCAACAAAGUCGUCAAGAAUUUUCUUUAUGAUUAAUCCGGAUGGAUUUUUUUCUAUCCAUACUAUACAAAUAUCUACAUCGCAUAGAUAAUCUUGUGUUUAUAUGAAAUGUUUGUGGUGCAUCAUACAUCCAUAUUUUCUUGUUAGUUCAGUAAUUUAUAUGUAUUUAAAGUUGUUUUGAUAGCUAAUUUUCUCCUUGUUCGAAGAAAACAAAAGACAUGCAUAGAGGUACUAUAUUCGCAGAUACAUAUUAGCAAUCUAAAAUUGGAAAGAACGUGUGAAUCCAUGUAAUUGACAAAUGUCGCCAACGCAUCAUAUUUGUGAAAAUAAUUGUAUUAUGCUCAUGCAUAAUACUAAUCGACACCACGAGCGAUUCAACAUGUUUGCAUCACCACACCACUACGUUGCACUUUGGCGACAUGGAAUGUAGUUGAAUCUAGUUUGGUACUAUACAACAUAAUUGGGUAAAGCGUGCUCAUGGAUAGCCAUAUACAUAGCAAUAUUUAUCUUGAUUGGAAUUUUGGUUUUUUAUGAGUUGACAAAUAUCAUGAUAGGUCUGAAGUUCUAAAAAUAAAGUAGCACGCUCCUCAAAUAUCAUGAUAGUCUUACUUUUUAUGUGGAGUUGGAAAAGUAAUGAUGAAUUGGACGACAUCACAUAGAUAAAUCUUUGUGCUUCUUGUCCACUAAUUGUUCUCAAGGGGCACUUUACCAAUUACCACAACUGCAUGAUCUACUUUAGACCAGCAUCGGUAUACCUCAUCCUACGUUGCAUCGACCAUUAAUCCAUUAUUUUCACUAGUAAGCAUGCACGUGCAACGCACGUCUCAAAAAAAUGGUUCAUAUGGUAUCAUAGUAAAAUAAUUUCUGAUUUUUUCAGACGGUACAAAAUGUUAUUAUGUCACUCAAAUUAUAUUUUAAAAAUUGUGACAUAUUUGUGAUCCAACACACAUAUCAUAAUCUAUAGUAAAACAUAUUUGAGUUUUUUCAUCGAGCAAUCUAUCGGUGUCUUAUAUAAAAUAAUAUGAGAACGUGCGUAACAUAUGAUCCAGAAACAUGUCUCCGCAAAAAAUUUAAGAUCACAUAAUAAUUGUAUUAUAAUUGUUACAAAAAUAUAUUUUAAAAACCAGGACUAAGCACGUCUUGAUGGUCCAUCUUUUGAAGGAAUGAAAGUCCAUCUAUAGAUGCGAUCUAUGAUGCUUCCUUCAAUGUAUGGGAUAUUGUUUUGAGAUUCAUUUUCUUUAUACUUUAAAAUAUGCACCAAAAAUCGCUUCCUCAGUUCAAAACAAUCCUACAUAUGCAUUAGACAACAUUGUUAUAACAAGUUUGUAUGUGUAAUGUGUAUACAAAUAAGCAUGGUGUAAAUACUCACCUGAGGUAUAGGAAAAUAUAGUUUUCCAUCGCACAAUCAGUGUAUGUAGUUAAAAACCAAAUACCCCGACAAGGCACUGCAUGUAUGAAAUAAACACAUAAUGUGCGUUGAAUGAAUGAAUUAUUUUCGACAGUAACCAGUAGGUGUACCUCUUGUUUCCUCAAAACUUAUAUACAAUAAGACCGGGGAUGAGUGAACACUUCUGGUAACCAAACUAUAGCAUUCCCGAGAUGGCCACCGCCAUGGCUUACUGACAAGAUUCACCAUCUCGCUUCCCCAAACCUCCUGACCAAAGUGAUCCUUAGCUCAAAAGAGCUAUGACACGCGCCUCCCAUUGCUACCACCUUUAGUUUGGGUGAGGUCUCAUGUGCGUCUUCUGGUCUUGUUUCAAUGUUAUGACCAAAACAUAUCAUCUUCACUUCAAGUUGAUGCCAUCCCUAAAAUUAUCUAUGGGAUUCUUCAGAAUUUCAAAUCUAGUCAUGACUUGGUAUGAGCAUCAUAUGGUAUUCUCUGAGAUGGAAAUUUCAGUAGAGAUACAUAUGAACAAACAUGAUAAAUUACCUUCUCUAAAAACCAACCCAAAAUAUUUCUCCAACUCCACAAUGGCUAUCGCUGGUGCUCCAUUGGUAACCUCACCCAAGAUAAUUGAAUAGUAAAAUUACUUCCAAGUAGCUCAGAACUGAAACAUUGGAUAGAAACAAUGAAUAAUAUAUAUGGAUUCAGGUACUCCAAACUAAUAUAUGGAUUUAAUUACACAUGAUCAUUCAAGCUAGCUUUCUAGAGAUUGUUUUGAAAAUCAUUAUUCAAAGCAGUACAAAGAAUUGUAUAAUUUUUAAUAAAACACAUGAUGUGUGACAUUCAAUACAAACUUUGACCAUAUACUUUAAGCAUGUUCAAGGUAUAUUUGUCCAGAUAUGAGAUUUACAUUCAUGAUUAUAAACUAAAACCUACUAUCAUGCUUUCACACAACUCAUAAGAAGGAUGACUACAACACCUGGAUCAUGGAUAAUUAGGAGCUUGAUGACGUACACACAUACUGCUGGUAGGGUUAUUGUUCAUGCACAUCUUUGGCGUCCGAAGAGACAAGAGGCCUCCAGCACCGGCGUGGCUCCGUGAGGCCAUCACAUGUGACAUUUGCUACUGCUGGAAUGCGAUCCUAGCGACAAAGGGUAUGUGGGUAGGAGGGGGCGGUGAUGCCAUACCUACGUUGAUACUUCACAAACCAAAAAUUACAUGUUAUUGCAACAUAUGAUAACAUAAUGAAGGAAAGAGGAACAUAAAAAAAAUAUAAGAUGCAAAUUGAAAUCAAAUUUUCAUCAACAAUUGUAAGAAAGCGGGCGACACCGAGUGACUGAAACAUGUGCCGAUUGAUCUCGAUGCAAAAUAAAUAUUGAUCAAUCUAAUUGACUGUCAGAUAUCGAGUUUCAUGAAUAUGGAAAAAAAAUUGUCAACUGAUUUGAGAAAUAACAAAUAACAUAAUUACAAGCGUCAUUUUUGUGCCAUAAUUUAUAAUAAAAUUGGCUUAGAAAUGAUUGAUUACAUAAGCUAGUAUGUCGUAACUGAACACAUGAAUAGUAUAGUGCUCAACGUUGACAACAACCGUCAAAAUCACAACCCUCGCCAGCCAGCCCUACCAACGGCAAGGUAUAUAUUGCAAACUUUCAUAUUGGGAAGAAGCAUCAAAAUGUCAUCACAACAUUGAACUGCAAGCUAUCUUGAUGGCUUAGCUAAAAAGAGAAGAAAUGUAGAAGUAGUGCUUCACCUGAAUAAGCAGUUGGAAGUCUGAAAGAUCUGAUGAACGGUGAACGAAAAAUUAUCUCCAUCGUCUAGCACACCAUCGCUUGUUGGAAUUAAACACGACAUGUUUUCCUGUCCAUCCUACUUUCAUUAGGUCCUAAAGUGUUGCAAUAUAGAUAUGCACGUACCUCAAAGUGUUUCGUGUGUGUGUGUUAGCUACACCACAUCCAGCCGGAAUAGUUCAUGGCAGCCAACGAUCUGUCUUUCUGUAGGAAAUGAUAACAUUCGCUGCAACAGAGUUUCUACCUGAAGAUAUUGUUAGAACAUGUUCCACAAAAUUUGUCUCAUAAGUAUUGUUAGAACCACUAUGUGGAUAAUAAAGGAAGAUAACAUACUUGUUCAAGUAAACAUCUCCAGUAUAUCCAAAUCAUUGUACAAAUAUGAUAAAUUAUUCGUGGGCCAACACAUAUGGAUGAAGUUUCUUCCAGCCUAAAAAUCACACCUCUGCGUUCAAGCCAAAAAUCAUCUUUGAUGAAAUACUAUGCCUUGCAUCCUAAAUUCCCAAAGGAUUAAAAUUACAAUUAAAGAUAACAAGUUGGCAUUGCAAAAAAGUGGUCUGAGAUGUUUAUGUCAUGUACCAAUGGAUGUUAUGAUAGAAGCAACACCAUAUGCUGGACUACAGAUUUUGUAGGUUUUCUAAGCAUAUGAUAUCAUCAGCAUAAACUGCACACAAUAAUAUUAGUAUUCUUGCUUUCGAAUUUCUAUCAGCAAUGUAGAGAGAAAACAAGAACUUCAUACGUUUUAAGAACCAUAAGCAUAGAUACUCAAAAUAUGAUGUAAAUGUUGUCAUGGCUACAGAACCAUCAUCCACCUUCAUAGGUUCAUUGACACAUGAGGAGCAUCCGUGUAAAUCUGACUCAUUUGGUCGUUGAAGCGAAAAAACAUGGGACUGUGAAUCAACAAUGGACAGAAAGCAUCACCUUUUAAAUACAUUAAUACACAAAAAUAAAUGCUAAGAUGCUUUGAAAAUUUCAUCAUCAGGGUUUAAAACCAAAGUAACUCAUGCUUAGAUUGGCAGCAAAGUUUUUUCAAAACCAUAGUAAUCCGAAAAUUCAGCAUGCCGGCAGAACUUCCCGAAGAAGUCUGUUUGAUAUUUUUCCCAAUGCAGGCGAGUUGGUACAGCUCGAGGCUCAACUAUAGGACAUGCCUUUCUUCUCCUUGGCAAGAUGUGUGGUCUCUAAAAGUGUAUCAUAUUUGCAUCCAAAACAGAGUGAAUUGAAUCCCUACUACUGGGCUCUUUAUUUUUCAACAAUAUGGAAAAAAGAAUCACAUCCCAAUCUACAUCUCAACCUGCAUUACCAUCACAAUGUCAUACUGUCAAAAAACACAAAAAAGCAAGGUUAAAAAUAGCUGGCGAAGCACACUCAUAUUAGCAUAUGCUGCUCAACCCUGUGUAUAUGUACUAUAGCUCUAUUGUCCUUGCUAGCUUAAUGUUGCGGAUGAUCUUUUUGAAAGAACCAAAUAUAUAGACAUGCAUCCAUGAGAAUUUACAUUUCAACCUCCAUUAGCAUCGCUGUGUGAUACUAUAAAAAACACAGAAAAAUGGCACGGUUCCUCUUUGCCCUAGUUGCCACUUAAUUAGUUAGCUAACCAUAAACUCAUAUUACCAUAUAGGAAUACUCCUCAACUCUGUGUAUAAUACCUAAUUUUUGCCUCGUGCAAAUAAUUUGAAACGUCACUCUUCAUAAAUAAACAUUUUUUUAAAACAAAUAUCACACAUCUUUGCAUCAAUUAUAUAAUUUCUUACCGAAAUGCACACUUCUCCCAUGCAUAGUGCCCAAACAAUUAUAAUGUCUUGUAAAUAAAUUUCAGUAUGUGAGCAAACUCACCAAGCUGGCUUCGACCCAUGAAACCAAAAAUGUAUCUCUAUGCAAAAUUUUAGGAAAAAAUAUAUCAGGGGAUGAACACAUUUCUUACAACACAUGUUGAUAUACUAAUGGUACUAUGUCACUAUAGCACAUGACUCGAUGCAUUUAUUAGCUAGUAACAUGAGAAGCACAAGCAUGCAUGCUUUCCGGCCAAAAUAUCUGCAGAUGUCUGCAUAAAUUGAGAACCAAAAAAUAGUAGGAACUAUUCAAAUAGACAGGCUUUAGUAAGAGCUUUAGAUGUAUGAUAUAACUCUAUUAGAUUCAAAUCCAAUGACAAGACAUGUGAUAAUUGAGGAAAUGAAACGAACCCCAAUUCUGCUUCUGGAUAUUCUCAUGAGUGUUUUGGCAGGUUGCAACUUGCAAGUGUGCGAGACCACGCUAAAGAAAAAAUUCCAUUGAAUACUGACAUGUUGAUAGCUUACAAUUAUGCAGAUUCAAACCUUUAUAUUAGUUUACUUGUAUAACAACCAGAUUUAGGGCUCCUAUUUUCAGUUGCAAGAGGAUGAUUUAAAUAGAAAAACAAUUCUUGAGACGGUAGACCAUAUGUGAAGGGAAACUUUUCGGGCGUAUCCAUUCGGCGGCAACGACGAACCUGGGUACAACAGAACAUCAUAUGCCUCUUAUUCCUUUUGUGUGCUUCAUCAGCCCCUACAUAAAAAAUUCAAUCAUUAGCCCGUUAAGGCAUUUCCACAAGCACUUGCCAAUCGCUGACUGACUAAAAAGUUACAAACUGAUGCAUGGCAAGGUGGCCGAGGCCUCCGCUGCCUGCUUGUUGACAUUAGCGGGAGUAUCGAAGGAGAGCUCGGUGCUUUCCCUUACCAACGGCCAGUGAAGAACAAGGAUUUGGCUGACCAGGGAAGUUCCCUAGGUGGUGCGUAGACGGUUAGGCUCAAAUGCAACGAUCCGGUGUACUGCUGUCCAUAGAUGUCGGCCAUGACAAAAGGUGGCUCACGGUAGUAUUUAUUCAGUAUACGUAUGAGGACAGCCAGCAAUCCAAUGACGCCGGCGUCCGCGAUGGCAGUCAGCAGCAGGUGUCGGGGGCGUGCUGCUCUUGGUCGACCAGCGUCCGGGGUGCUCACCGCAACGUCGCGGUCGGUGCCCUGCGCCUCGCCCCUAUCCUUGGCGGCGCGGGGCGAGCGAAGCGGCGAUGGCCGUGCGGGGCGCGCGGAGCAGGGCGAGCGGAGCGGCGGCGGCCGUGCGGGGCACGCGAAACGGGGCGAGCGGAGCAGCGACAGUCGUGCGCGGGGUGGGGACGUCGGCGAGCCGGGCGAGUGGAGUGGCGGCGGCCGUGCGCAGGACGGGGGCGAGCGGGGCAAGAAGAGAUGCGGUCAUCCUCCGCUGGUGAUGGCGACGCUGCUCGCGGCAACAGUUCGCUACGGCGGCGGAGGCGGAGGCGUACGGGGAGGGGAAGGGGGAGGCGGAGGCGGACGGGGAGGGGCAGGCGGAGGCAACGACGAUGGUGCAGGACAGGGUGGGUGGCUGCGGUGUAUGGUGUGAGGAGGACGUGUUAGUUGCCGUUAAUUGUGGCUAAAUUUCUGUAGUUGAUUGGCUCGUUUUUCUUUUUUUUUUGCGGGGAGGUGCAACAGUUGGAUCUAUUUUUGUUUGCUCGCUGUAAGGAGGUGGAGCACGGUCAGCCUUUGGUGAAUUUGGUAACUGCACACCGUCGUGGUGCAUGGAUGGUGGAAGGCCGUUAGAUUGCAAUUUGUUGACUAAUUGUGUGGUGGUGAUUUGUGUUUGUUUUUUGUGGGUGUAAUAGUUGUGUGUACUUAGAGAAGUUCUUGUUUGAUCUUUUAUUAGUAGUAUAGACUGUUAGAUUGCAGUUUCUUUAGAAGAUGAAGCCAAGAAGAGCAUGUUAGAGGUUGUAUUUGAUACUUUUGCUUUUUAUAUCAGAAACAUUGGUGUACUUUGAAGCCGGGGGUGUAUGGAGGGAGAUGCGGCGACACUAGCAACGUGGAAGAUCGAUCGCCACCUUGGGGUUGCACUCAGUCACUCAUCAUCCCUCACAACCUUCGGGUUGCUUUGUGGUUCACUAAUAGCUAUGCGGGUAAGAGAUCACACUUGAUGGAAAUUAGGAGUUGGGGACAUCCUUCGUUGAGAGAAAUCGCCACCACUAAAGGGAUGGUGGAGUCAGUGGCCAUGUAUAGGAACCAAGGGAGAUGAUUUUAUUUUAUUUUAUUUGUUAGCGACGGAUGUUUGUCCUUUUUUAAUCAGGAGAAGAUUUUGUUCGUGUAGUGCCAUGGGUUAUCAACGGGAUUUCAUAUUUUUUUUCUGUAGACUUAAAAUGUUAUGAAAGGAGGCUAUUUUAAGAACAUGUGGAUGUUUUUGUUGAAUAUCCAAUUUUUUUGUCCGCAACUUUGGAUGUGUGAUUAAAAAAGGUUGGACGUGUAAGAUGCCUCUUUUUGGAUUGGGUUGCGAAGUCCUCUUUUUAUCUUGGAAAUACGUUUUAUAAUUCAAAGGUCUACUUAAUCGUGGUGACAUGGACUAAUGAGAAGUUUUGAAAGUUGCGCCAUGUGCAGGAGCCUCGGAGGUGUUUUCCUUCUUUUUUUUUGUAAAGUAAUCAGCAGAACAUUUUGUUCAAGGAUUUUCACUGGUGCCGUGGGAGGUGCAGCUGCAGAGAAAGAUGUUUUCCGGUUUCCAACGGAGAGAUGUUACACGGGUCAUCAAUCCGAUCGUUUCUUGAAGUUCAAAAAGAAACAGAUCGUACCUUUGUUUUCCUAUUUAUUCAAUAGAGAUUUUAUUGAAAAAGGUUAACCUUUUCCUUAAGGAACGGAUGGAUAUUCUUUUUAGUUCUAUUUCACAUCAUUAGACGUGUCAGAUGUCAUCUUCUUUUGUGUACGGGGCCAUUUAUGUUACGCACAUUUUUUUCUAUCUUGGACAUAGGUUUUUCAAUCCAACGGUUUAAUUAAUUUCGAUAAUGUGGAUUAAUGAGAAACCCGAAAGGUGUAUCCAAUUAGUAAAUAUAUAAAAUUGUAUAGGAACGAGCGUGCACAGAAGGUGAUUGGUGUUGUCCCGGCGAAGUCCAAAUCCAAGUAAAGAAUAGCCAAACAAAGAAUAUGUAGACAACAAGAACGAACGGAAUAAUGGAAAGGGCACACUUUUUUUUUGCUUUGCAGCACAUGGGGGCCUUUGAGAGGAAACCGCUGCUACAUCAUUGGAGCGCCACCAAAUAGAAAUGAAAGAGAUGACCUUACACGUUCACGAAUGGAGAGGCAUCUCAGGAAUGGAGAUAAGCAUGUCUGACCAGGACGACCACUGGCCAGCCGAUGCACUUGUGGCGGCUAGGGGCAUCCUAUUCGGAGACCCGCGCACCAGAAACCAGGUAAGAGCAUCCCCUUCUCUCCCCUCGCGACGACUAUAUCUCGCAUUAAGCGAGACAGUAGGAAGACUAGUUUAAGACUCUAUAGUAAUCGAGUCAACCCUUUACGCAUGCAAUUAAGUCAAAAUAGCAGGAAAAUAGGAGAAGUCCGUGUUCUUCAGGGAGAUCGCUCGCGCUAUUCACCAUUCCUCCCAAGUUCCAUUCAUGGUAAGUAGUAGUGACGCGUCCUACUCGAGUAGGUGAUUCAAGACAGUUUUCUUCAUGUUUUUUCUCUCUAUUUUUGUUUUCUUUUGUUAUUUUUCUUUUUUCUUCUCCAUUUUUAUCAUUUCGUUUUGCAUUUAUUUCUUUGAUUUUAUUUUUCUUUGUUUUUGUGUUUUUUGGUUUUCUUUGUUUUUUGUUUUCAUUCUACAUUUUUUAUAUAUGUCAACAACAUUUGUCUAAUACGCCUCUAAAAAUUUUCCAAUACAAAUUUUUAACACACUUUUAGUCAUGGUCAAUAUUUUUUCUAUACACACUUUUAACAUUUUUCAAAUGCUCUAUUAAAAAAAUUCAAAUUCAAUAUUAAUAUUUGUUGAAUACAUGGUCAACAUUUCUCCUAUACACACUCUUAAAAUAAUUUAAAUGCUUGACUAACAUUUUUAAAAUACAAGAUUAACAUAUUCUAAUACAUGGUCAACAUUUGUAUGCACAUUUAAAAAAUUUAGAUGCUUGAUUGUCAUUGUUUAUAUGUACCAUUACCAUUUUUUAACACACGGUCAAGAUUUUUCUAAACACAUUUAACAUUUUUCAAAUGAUUGAAUAAUAUUUUUCAAAUAUUUGUUCAACAUUUUUUAAAUGCUUGACUAACAUUUUUAUAUACAUGACCAAGUUUUUCCAUCAUUUUUUCAGACAUGGUCAACAUUUUUUUCUAUAGACAUUUAAAUUUUUUCAAAUGCUUGAUAAACAUUUUACAAAUAGUAGUUCAACAUUUUUACAUAUUAUUUAUUAACAUUUAACAAUACAUAAUUAAUUUUUUUUCAUCAUUUUUCUAAUACGUGAUCAACAUUUUUUGUAUACACAUUUCACCUUUUCCAAAUGCUUGAUUAACAAUUUAAAAACACACUCAAAUGAUUGAUUAUUUCUUAAAUACAUGAUAAAAUUGUUUCAUACACAAUAUAUUUGUAUGUAUUAAUUUUUUGUAUACUUGAUAAAUAUUUAUUUUAUAUACAUUUAACAUUUUUCAAAUCAUUGGCCAACAUCUUUCAAAUAUUCUAUGCAGAGUGAUGUUAGUAGUUUAUUUAUUGAGAAUAAUUGGAGGUAUAAACAAAAUAAAAAAUAAAUUAAAACAAAGAAAAAAGGAGAAAACAAAUGAAACAAAAAAGAUGAUGUUGUUGUUCCCGCACGCCUGGGCUGGCCGAACUGGUGGCACCCUCCCACAAAAAGUGUUCGCAAAUUGAAAAAAUGUUUGCAAUUUAAGAGAAUGCUCACUAAUCUGUAUAAGAUGUUCACAAAUUUAAAAAAUAUUUCAUAUUUCAAAACUAUUCAUGUAUUUGCAAAAUGCUCAUGACUUCAAAAGAUGUUCGCAAAUUGAAAAAUAUAAACCCUGAACAACUAUUUGCAUCUUGACAUCACUCCUCUCACCGCCACACCCACGGGACUGGCCAUAGCGUCCGCCCGCCGUGGUUCUCUUGUUCCGGCCGAACAGGGCCUUAAUCUCGUUUGUUUGCUUCAUGUUGUCUAACCACUUUCUAUUUUUAUCAUUCCGAAAUCCUCAUCUUCAUCUUUAUUUUAAUUAUACCAAGCAUCCCGCAAUACUCAUCUCACAUCACACAAAACUGUCCUCCCUCCUCACCUCUUUUUGGUUUGUUGAUAUUUUGGAUAAGUUGUUAACAUAUAUAAAUAGGUUAGAAGGACCUUGUGAGAUCGAGGUGGUACUAAUAAAUGUGGAAUAUGCUAGUUUAGCAGUUCUGGCCUCAUUGAAAAAGACUCGUGGUUAGGAGUUCGAUUCUCCUCCUGAGUCCUCAUGAGCAAAAAAAUCAAAUAAUAAGUGUCAUACGUGUGGCACAAAACACUUCGGUCUGACAUUUUUAUAUCUGAAGUUGGCAUUUGAAAAUAAAACACAACCCGGAAAAACUAAAAAGUUCCCACCAGAAAAGAAAGUUAUCAUGCUUUACAACCAAAGAUGACACCCUUACGCACUAAACUUACCAUAAAAGAUAUUCAGAGUUGAAAUGUUUGUGCCACUCGUGUCACACUUAUCAGGGUCUUUGUUUUUUCUGGUUUUUUUUAGCAAGUGGUUUUUUGUUUUGGUGAGAACAUGCCUUAGCACUAGAGGGCGAAGUGGCCCACGUAUUAUGUUGGAGUCGGCUUUCAAAUUAGGUUCCAAAGCCCAAUCUUCUUUGUUUUGGUGAGAAUGGACCUUAGCACGGGUGGCGAAGUGGCCCAGACGUUGUGCGGGAGUCUGCUUUCAAAUUAACUUUCGAAGCCAAAUCUUUUUUGUUUUGGUGAGAAUGGGCCUUAGCUUUGGUGGCGAAGUGGCCUGCACGCUGAGCUAGAGUUAGCUUUCAAAUUAGCCUUGAAAGCCUAAAGCUUUUUUGUUUUGGUGAGAGCACGCCUUUUACUGGUGGCGAUGUGGCCUCGGCGCUGAGCUAGAGUUAGCUUUCAAAUUAGCUUCGGAAGCCUAAAGUUCUUUCUUAGAGCCCCUACAUGUCGCUCUUUGCGGCACGGAGUCGUGCGCCGCAUAGGGGGGCGCCCCGACUGGGCUGGCCCAGUUUUUUUUUUCUUUUCUUCUUAUUUCCUUUUUUGUAUCGUUUUUUAUUUUAUUUUUCCUUUUAUUUUUGUAUUUUAACCAAAACCACUUUUAUAAUUUGAAGAAUUUUUUUUAAAAUCAUGAACAAAUUUAGAAUCGCGACCAAUUUUUUAAAGCACAAACAUUUUUUGAAUCUUGAGAACAAACUUUUAAGAAGGAGAAAUUUUUUGAGAAACCGUGAAUAAAUUUGAAAGCGCGAUAGAAAAAGGACAAACAUUUUUGAAUUUUGAGAACAAAUUUUGAAACCAAAAAAUAAUUUGAAAAAUCCUGAAAAAAUUUGGAAGCCAGAAUAAUUUUAUAAAUCAUGAACCUUUUUUGAAUCUUGAAAACAAAAUUUGGAAAUAAAGAACAAUUUUGAAAAACAUUGAACAAAUUUGGAAGCGCAAACAAUUUUUUAACACACUAGCAUUUUUUGAAUCUCCAGAACAAAUUUUGACACUCAAACAAUUUUGAAAAAUCGUGAAUAGAUUUGGAAGCGCGAAUAAUUUUGGAACUGCGAACAAUUCAUGAACAAAAUUUUUAAAUUGUGAUUGAAUUAUUGAAAAUGAUAGCAUUUUCUGAAACACGAAUAUUUUUUGAAAUUUCAAAAAACAAAACUUGAAAAUUGGAAUACUUUUCAAAAUGCAAACAUUUUUUGAGUCCAUCAAUAAAUUUUGAUAAUGCAAACAUUUUUCAAAUUUGGUAGAAAUUUUAAAACAUGAACAAAUAUCAAAUUCGUGAACAAAUUUAUAAAAGUGUGAACAUUUUCUGAAUAUUGAACAAUUUUCAAAGAACAGCAACAUAUUUCUAAUCAAUGAAAAAACAUUUAAAAUUGUGAUUGGUUUGUUGAAAAUGAGGUUAUUUUUUUAAAACAAGAACAUUUUUUGAAAUUUCAUAAAAAAUGAAAUCGGGAAUAUUUGAACAUUUUUGGAAUCUCCGAAAUUUUUUUGAAACUGCGAACAAUUUUUAAAAUUUUGAAAAAGAAAUAAAAUAUGAACAAAUAUCAAAUUCGUGAAUAAAAUUGUAAAAGAUCAACUUUUUGAAUUGUGGAAAUUUUUUGAAACCGCGAACAAUUUUUGAAUUGUGAACAAAUUUUGAAACAUGAAAAAUUUAAAAUCGUAAACAAAAUUUAAAAAUUGUGAAUAUUUUUCAUACCUGCUAACAUAUUUUUAAACUGAGAAAAUUUAUCAAAUUGUGAGGAUAAUUAUAAAAUUAUGACAACAAAUUGAAUCUGCGAACAAAUGUUGAAACAGAGAACAUUUUUUGAAUUCUGAAUAUAUUUGAAAACAUGAACAAAUUCAAAUUCAUGAACGAAAUUAUAAAUUACUAACUUUUUUAGAAUUUCACAAACAUUUUAUGAAUUGUGAAUAUAUUUCUUGGUCAUUUUCGUACAGUUUCUUGGUCAUUUUCGUACAGCAAGUACCAAAAAGCAAAAAAAAAAAAUGAACACAAAAAAAUUCAUCAAAAUGUAAAAAGGUUCGUAACUUUUUGUUAAAGGUUUACGCAUUUGAAAAAGGAUUCACAAAUUUAUGAAAAAGUUCACGUAUUUUGAAGAAAUAGUUCAUGAAUCUGAGAAAAGUUCAUCAAAUUUUUAAAAAAGUUUAUCAGAUUUGAAAAAAGUUCAUCCAAUUCGAAAAAAAGUUCAUUGAUUUUUUAAAAAAGUUCAUCAAAUCUGAAACAAGCUCAUCGAAUUUUGAAAAAAGUUCAUCAAAUUUUAAAAGAGUUCACCACUUGUUAGAUAAGUUCAUCUAAAUUUUUAAUAAGGAAAAUCAUAAAUUUUGAAUAAAAAUACGAAUUUUCAAAAAUUUCACGUAUUAACAUAAAAUAGAAAAUGAAAAAUAAAACCCGAAUAAAACAGCCUCGCAAAUGACGAGCGAAUCAGGAAAAACGGUUUCGAAAGGUUCUGGAAGCUUCCAAAAAUUGAAGGAUUCCCGAGACCGGAGCAACAAAUAAAAACAUAAAUAACAUGUUUUUAACACAUAGCAGUCAGUGGUGCUCGCACCGAAGUUACUGGUCUCGUGUUCGAACUCCCAUCUUGCCUAAUUUUUCUAAACUUUUUGGCGAAUAAAGAUGGAUCGGCCCAUGUUUUUUCUAAACUUUUUCGCAAAUAAGGAUGAGCUGCCCAUCUCAAACAGAUAAAGAUGGACCGGUCCAUGUUUUUUUAAAACUUUUCGGAGAAUAAAGAUGGGUCAACCCAUAUUAUACAAGUGAUGGGAUGCCUACAGGUGCCCAUUCACAAACAGGCGCAUAAGCGCCAAAAAAGAAAUCCCAAGGCGUUGUGCGGGAGUUGGGCCCGGCACGAUAUGCCCCAACCCAUCAUAAUUAUGCCUGGCACGACCCGACCUGCUAUAGCACGAUUAUUAAUUGGGUCGUGUCGUGCAGGCCCAUGUGCUCUCCCCUUUAACCCAGGCAGGUCCCACAAGCUAUAUGGACCGUCCCAAUGGCACGCCAAGCUGUUAGGUUGCCGGCUUGCUAGGUUGUUUUUGGGUCAAAUUUGGUUUAUUAGGCUAUUUUUUCAAACAUCUAUAAUAAUAAAAAAAUAUAAAAUAAAUAAACAGUCGUGUGGCGCUGGCCCGCGUGUUCAGCCUUCAGGCCAAAGCACGGCCCGUCGUGUGCCGCGUGUGAGGCCUGACACAUUUAGCAUGUGUGGUCUCGUGCGCCUGGGCCGUGUGUGCUACGGGGCCGGCCCCGCUAUCCCGGUCCGUUUGGCAAGCUCUAGGUGUUAGUCGGGGGUCUAUCCUCUUUUUUGAGAGCAACUAUUUAACGAGCACUCUUUUGGGAGCCUUCCAAUGAUCACUCCGACGCGCCGUCGCUUGGCGCAUUUUCAGUCUGUGUCGUGCUUUGAGCGUUUUCUUUGGACUUUAUUUUUUAUUUUUCCGCACACGUUUUUGGUUUUUUUUUCUGCAUUUUUUGUUGUCUCAUUUUUUAUCGGUCUUUCUUAACUUUUCGCCGUUUUUUUUCAUAUUUUCUGCAUGAAAAAUCGUGUUUUUUGUGCCGUCGCGAGAGGCAUGAUUUUGCUUUCGCGAGAGUCAGGGUCGUGCCUCUCGGAAUUGGAAAAAAGAAACAUUUUUUUUUGCGAGAGACGCGAUUUUGCUUUCUUAAAAGACAUGAUUUUGCUUCCGCGAAAGGCACGGCCGUGCCACUCGGAAACGAAAAACGUGUUUUCUAUAAAAAAAAUUGCGAGAGGAACAAUUUCGCUUUCGCGAGAGGCACUUCUUGAAAUGAAAAAGAAACGCAUUUUUUUGUGAGAGGCACGGUUUUGCCUUUAUGAGAGGCACGGUCGUGCCACUCGAAAAUGGGGAAAAUAUGUUUUCUAUUUUUUCUAUCGCGAGAGACACAGUUUUUUCAUCCAUUUUUUCGUUAAAAAAAUAGUUCGUCAAAACAUAUCAACAUGGGAUUUAGUUUUUAAAGUCUAAACGUGAAAAAGCCAACAAUGAAAAAGGUUCGAGAUAUAAAUACUCGGUUUAAGAGAUAAAAUAUUUUAAAAAUACAGAUUCGUGCAAAAAGAAAAAACUCUCAGGUUACGACCAAUGGCAUAUAUACAACGCAACACUUGUGCAAUCUAAAGAAAUGAGAGUAAUCAUUUAAAAGAGUACUUUUCAAUUAGUGAUUGACUACUGCUAGGCACCAUCCGGAUGCUGGAAAAAUAAAAAACAUCCGCCUCCUGAAUCGUAGGAUCUGAACUUCUCUAGCCAUUCGAUGAGGGUCUUCUUUUCUUUUUUUCUUUUCUCAUCACACAACACCGCACACAUAAUCUUGCAUGCAUAGCAAACUCCGGUGGCACCAUAGAGCGCCCACAACAGCAACUCUGGUGGCCUCGCAAACUUUGUUGACACCGCAAAACGCCGGCAGCAGCGACUCUAGUGGCCUCGCAGCACCGGCUCUCGCAACAUGACAUAGUCGUCGCAGCACCGGCUCGCAACACGACACAGCCAUCACAGAAUCAUUGGAGCAGUCUGAGCCGUCAACAUAGCAUCACUGGAGCAGCCCUCAUUGUAGCAGCAUCGGAGCAGCCCGAGCCGUCGUUGUAGCAUCACCGGAGCAACCCGAGCCGCCAUCGCGGCAUCGUUGGAGCAGCCCGAGCCACUGUCGCAGCAUUAUCGGAGCAACCCGAAACGUCGUCAUAACAUCGUUGGAGCAGCUCGAGCCGUCGUCAGAGCAGUUGAGUCGCAUCACAGCACCGGCUUGCAGCAUGACGGCCAUGGCAGGGUUGACUCGCAGCAUGACGCCCAUUGCUGGGCUGACUUGCGGCAUUAACAAAGCAGAUCAGCCUCGCCUCGCAGCAACAACUCCGUCAGCUCCCCUUGCAGCAUCGGCAGCGGCCGUCGCAAGAGGAGCUUCACCCCUCCCUUCGCAUCAUCUCUUCCAGACGUAACCGGACGCUCACACAGCAUACGCGACGCCGAGGCCCCUCUCCCCGCAACUCCAGCGAGCUCUAGUAGUCGUCUAGCUCGCAAGACCGACAACUCCUUGCAGCACUAGCUCACAACAACGCUUGUGGGCUCACUAGUUCGUUGUUCCUCAUGUAUGGCAGCAGUGGCAGAGCCACCUCUCUGGCGAGAUGUGAAAUGACAGAGAGAGGGAGACGAGACCGUGAUUUGGUCAUUUGGAUAGAAAACGAAUGAAGGAGGUGCUUUGGCUGUAGCUAAGAAGAGGGGAAAAGAGUGAUAAGCGGUAGACGGCCCCACGAGACGUGUGUCGCUCGCGCAACGCGGUUGUCGUCAUGUUGUUGUUAGCAUCUGGCUGAAUAUAAGCAGUUUCCUUAGUGAUUUCGCUCUUUUUUUAGUAACUCUCAAUGUCCCCCUCUUGUUUGAAAAGAAAAAAAAUAGACUGAGAGGAUUUUUCUUUAGGUUACCAAUAAAGGCCAUGAAGCCCGGCCGAGCUAAACCAUCGAGUACUUCAUGUAGGCCUAUGAGUCCAGUAAAAAUACGCCUCCUUGUCUUUCUUCUUUCGUUCCUAGCACCUCCUCCUAUGCGUCACUCGUUGUGGCGAACAGCCCAGCGGACAAAAAGGGGGUCGGCCCAGUAUAUUUUCGUCUUAAGAAAAUCUAAUAUUUUCCUUUUUUUCUAUUUUUCUGUUCUUUGAUUCCUUUUUUGUUUAUUUCCUUUUUUGUGGUUUUUUAUUUCAUUUUCCCUUUUAUUCUCAAUUUGAACCAAUUUUUGAAUUUGAAAAUCAAUAUUAAUUUUAAAUUUUAAAACAUUUUUUAAAAGCAACAACAUUGUUUUGAAAAUUUAGAUUUUUUUUCGAACAGGAACUUAGUUUAAAAACUGAACAAAAAAAAUUAUAUUUCCAUUUUUUAAAUACUGAGCAUUUUUUUUAAAUACCGAAUAUAUUUUAAAAUACCAAAUAUUUUUUGAAAAUCAUGAACAUUUUUUUAAGUUAUGAGUAUUUUUUAAAAACGGCAACUAUUUACCAUUUAGAACAUUUUUCGAAAAAUAAAAUACAUUUUUAUAUUUGAAGAACAAAUUUUGAAAAAAAAUUUAUCAGAAACAUUGAAAAACGCCAUUUUUUAAAUUCGGAAGAUUUUUUAAAUCAAGGACAUUUUUCGAAAUUUAAAAAGAAAAUCGUACACUAACUUAGUUUGGAAAUUUAACAAAAUUUUGAUAUUGUGAACAUUUCUUAAAUAUACCAAACAUUAUUUGGAAAUAAUGAACAUUUUAGUAAAAUACCGAACAUUUUUCUUAAAAAACCAAACAUUUUUAAAGUUAUGAAUGUUUCAAAAAAGGCAUCUAUUUAAAAUUUAAAUCAUUUUUUUAAAUUCAAAGACAUUAUUUGAAUUUGAAGAAGAAUUUUUAAAAAUCCAGAACAAUUUUUGAAAGAGAAACAAAAAAGAAAAAAAGAAAAAAGGUUCAAAGAACCUUCUAGAAAUUUCCCAAAACCAGAAAAAUGACUGGAUGUCUAAAAGGUUUCCUAAACUAUGUUCCGCUUGAAUGGGCAGUCCCAAUUAGAACGAUCGCUUGAUCUCGCGUGUGCGGAGCCUCACUACUUGCCGCAAAAUAAGGCAAGUCGCUUCGUACUUUUGCUAGUUUCAUCCAUCCAUCCCUUUCCCCUUCUCCAGUCGGGCGCUUGAACCCUAGCAAAGUGUUAGCAGCAGCAAACCCCUCCAAAGUGUUAGCAGCAGCAAACCCCUCCAAAAGAGCUCGGGACGGAGGAGAUAAAGUUUCCUACUUCCUACCCACCUUUAAAGAAGGCUUGCGAGCCUUCCGCGGGAAGUCGUUCAUGUCCGCCUCCGUCAUCGUCGCCAACGGGGCGAGCGGGUACCACCUUCUCACGGUCGAUGGCUACUCCUGCACCAAGACUCUGCCCACCGGGAAGUUCCUCAAGUCGCACCAGUUCAUUGCAUGUGACCAUCGCUGGUACAUUAAAUACUACUCCAAUGGCCAAACAUCCGAGUGAGCGGAUUACCUUAUUGAAAAUAAUCUUGACACGUGACUUGUGCACGUGCAUGUGUGCUCACUGUGGGAGUACUAGCCAGUCUAUGCAUGUGUGUAUGACCGAGUAGUAUGAGUAAUUAGUACAUGCAUUGCAUGUUAGUGGUCUAGAUAUUAGCCAAAUCGUUGAGUUAGUUAGGUGAGUCAAUCCAGGAAUUAGUUAGCAUAUUAGUUGAAUCCUGUGCAUUGGAUGUUGUCCAGGUCGUGUGGCCGGCCGUUAAGGGAUGCAUGUUGUACACGCGCUGGGACGUGCAUGGAGUAGAUUAGUUAGUGCUGGUAGUGGGUUGUUGUGCGUGAGUGCAUAGCAUUAGUGCCUCGUCCUUGUAUAUAUAUAUUUGCACUGGAGUAAUGGAAGGCAGCCAUGAGGGCUAACAGAAAACAUGUAGCCAUUGUGGGUAACCAAGGAAGUGUUCUAGCGGCAAAGCCCUUGUGUUCUUCUUCCUUGGUUCAUGUGUGUGUGUGUGCGUGUGUGUUUCUGUGAGUUCUUCCAUUGUGUAAGUGUUCUUGAGAAAUAUUCGAGCUGAGAUAGUCGAGGGGGAGAAGAAGAGUGGCGCUGCGAGUGGGCGCACCAACACUUGGUAUCAUGAGCUUGGUUGUUUUGGGCGUGGUUCGCCAUGCCGGAGGCGUGCCGGCAAUGGUGGCGUUCGUCGGCGGCCGCGCGAAGCUCCGGGCCGUGUGUCGGCCUAUGGAGGUGCACGACGGUGUGGCUGCGUGACGGACUCCAUAUGAGGGGGACGUCGGCGGCGCAAGGUGGACGUCGUUGGCGGCGUGAUGCUGCUAGCGGCUGGUGUAUGUCUUCAUCAUCGUCGAACUGCAUCACGGUGAUGGAGAUAGGUAUGUCGUCCGGUAAGUUGUGUCAUCGGCGGCAAGUAGGUGGUAGCCAUGGAGCGGAGGCUAUUGCCAUAAGGAGUUCCAAGUGCGAGUCGUCAACAAGGUGCGUCAUCGUCGGCAACAUGGAGCUGAGUCACCGGCGAGUUGUGGCACCGGUGGCAAAGAUGGAGGCGAGACACCGGCGAGUUGCGG